CAGGAACCCACAUGGUGCUUCUGCCAAGAUUAGUUUACAUGGAGGACAAGUGAUUUCAUGGAGGAAUGAACAAGGCGAAGAGCUUCUUUUCACUAGCAACAAGGCUAUAUUCAAACCUCCUAAAUCAAUGCGUGGAGGGAUUCAGAUUUGUUAUCCUCAGGUAUAAUUUACUAGUAGAGCUCACUGAUAUCUUUUCUUGAUCACUUUGUAAUUGAAUUUUGUGUGUGUGUGUUUGUGAAGUUUGGUGAUUUUACGAUUUUGGGAUUAUCGGGUUUAAUGGGUCUAAUAAUCGGGUUGGUUUCUGGGUAAAUCCGGUUUAAUUUCGAUGUUAAGCGGUUAAUCGGGUUCGGCACAGUAAACCGAAGAUAAACCACGAAAUUUGAAAUUAUGGAGACUGAAGUCUCGAACUUUCAAUUUAGGGGGAAACUGGAGUUUAACUUUCGUUUUGUGUGGACUGGAGACGAGACCCGAAAUCUGUGUUGUUAUGGUACUAUAUGAAACUUACUGGGGGGACACAGGUCGUUCACCCA